rnacentral:misc_RNA from 1 species
AACGCACCUUGCGCCUCUUGGUAUUCCGAGAGGCAUGCCUGUUUGAGUGUCUUAUAAAAUCAAUCCCCACGGGUUUCUUGACCCGGCGGUGGACUUGGAAUUGGGCGUCUGCCGUUCACGCGGCUCGCCUUAAAGACGUUAGUGGGACAAGUUGCCUACGGCUUGACGUAAUAAGUUUCGUCAGACCCGGUGGCUUAUGCCCGCUCAUAACCCUCACCUGCCUCGCGGCGGCUGAACCCUUUAUGCUAGACCUCAAAUCAGGUAGGACUACCCGCUGAACUUAA